AUUGAACGCUGGCGGCAGGCCUAACACAUGCAAGUCGAACGAGUGGCGGACGGGUGAGUAAUGUCUGGGAAACUGCCCGAUGGAGGGGGAUCACUACUGGACACUGUAGCUAAUACCGCAUACCAUCGGAUGUGCCCAGAUGGGAUUGGCUAGUAGGUGGGGUAACGGCUCACCUAGGCGACGAUCCCUAGCUGGUCUGAGAGGAUGACCAGCCACACUGGAACUGAGACACGGUCCAGACUCCUACGGGAGGCAGCAGUGGGGAAUAUUGCACAAUGGGCGAAAGCCUGAUGCAGCCAUGCCGCGUGUAUGAAGAAGGCCUUCGGGUUGUAAAGUACUUUCAGCGGGGAGGCGUUACCCGCAGAAGAAGCACCGGCUAACUCCGUGCCAGCAGCCGCGGUAAUUC
rnacentral:rRNA from 1 species